rnacentral:rRNA from 1 species
UACGGGGGGGUGCGAGCGUUGUCCGGAAUCACUGGGCGUAAAGGGCGCGUAGGUGGUUUGAUAAGGGUGUGGUGAAAGUCCGGGGCUCAACCCCGGAUCUGCCGUGCCGACUGUCAAACUCGAGGACUGUAGAGGCAGACGGAAUUCCGGGUGUAGCGGUGGAAUGCGUAGAGAUCCGGAGGAAGACCGGUGGCGAAGGCGGUCUGCUGGGCAGUUUCUGACGCUGAGGAGCGAAAGCGUGGGGAGCGAACAGG